UGGGAGGGCCUCUCGCGCUGGGGUUCCAGCACCGGGCUGCUUGCUGUCGUGUAGGCUGGAGCGUCCUGUCCGCCUCCUGUCCGUUUCCCUCUCUGCUGAAGGGGUGCCAGGCGCGGGCCUCCACUGUCCCUCGGCCCCUGGAUGCGGAUACAGGGGUCUCGGCAGAGCCACAGCUUCCAGGUACGGGGCCCAGACCCUGUGGAGCCUGAGAUGGAGACGUCUGGGGACCCGUUCCCCAGUGACUGGAGCCCGCCGCCCAUUGAGUUCCUCAGUCCCUGGCCUCCACAGACCCAAGAGAGGACACUGGCUGAGGGAUCAGAGCUGCAGCCCACAGAUGUGGACCUGAAGGAGGGGCCGUCCUCCCCGGAGGAGCCAUGCUGCAGCAGGGCCAGCCCGAGCCAGCUGGUGGCCAGCCCAGAGCCCGGCACCUAUGUCUCGGUGGCUCUGGGGUGGCACCCAAUUCAGUGCCACUUCUGCAUGGAGUCCCUCUACCUUCACAGCAGAGGUUGGCAUCAUGGUGACUGAAUCCGGGCUUGGCUGGCACAGAGACUCAGGCUGACCCUGGUGACCCAGUGACCAGGGUCCCCUACAUGGACACAUCAGGGAUGAACCUCACGUCGGGAAUCUGCUCUUGGGGGAAGAUGAAAAACUCCAAUCUCCAAGGGCCCAGAAAUGGAUUCUAUGAAUCAGAGCAGGCCAUGGUGGUGCACAUCUGUGAUCCCAGUACUCUGAAGGCUGAGACAGAAGGAUCGAUGUUAGUUCAAGGCCAGCCUAGUGUUACAAAGGGAACUCAAGGCCAGCAUAGUGAGACUCUGUCUCAAAAAUAUCAGUAGUAAUAAUUAAGUAAAUAAAAUAUAAAACACCAAAGCAGCACCCACCAGAGUCCCCUAUUGGGAGGAGCUGGGUGGCUGGGGUGGAGGUGAAUGAGAAAACACCUUCUUCCUCUUUGAUUUUUUAAUCAUGAGAAUGUAUUAUUUCUCCAGAAAAGUAAACACAAUAAAUCAAGGGCUUGUUUUAUUCAUUUAUUUUGGUUCUUUUGAGACAGUGUCUUGCUAUGUAGUCCAGGCUGGCUGCAAACUUGUGGCAAUCCUCCUGCCUCAGCCUCCCAGGUGCUGGGAUCACAGCCCAACAACAAGGGCUUAUUUAAGGCUGAACCUUUACUUUUCCUGCUCCUCUAACUUUGCAUUCCUCUCUCUUCCCCACUCCCCUGUGUCUCCAGUAUGGCCCCAGGGGCUCCAAGAACUACAUCAACUCCUUAGAUUCCUUACUGCGGGAGAAGAGGGUGAGCAAAGUCCACUGUGUGUUCAUUUCUCUGAGAUUUUCAAGAGUUUUAGAGCUAAGUGACUUUCUGUCCCAGUGCACAGCUUUCUCCACCUGUGUGUGGAUUGCCACUGAACUAGAGGAGGCGGCAUCUCCAUGAGGCAGGGGAGCUCCGGAUUCCCAGGGUGAUAGAGCGGUCACCCCGGCCCUCCACCACUGGGCUCCAUGCUGCCUGCUACAUGCAGAGUCAGGACCAUUUGGCUGGAGGAACACAGCCUCCCUGUGGGCACAUGAGGUGCCAGCCACUGCUGCUGGCCUGUCUCCUGCCCUGGCACUGCAGCGUUGUCCUGGUGGGAGAGCCAGACUGAUGAACAAGUCAGGUUACUCAGCCCAGCAUCUUCCAGAGGCACAAAUUCAGUUGACUGAUCAGAACCUUGAGCCCUCAGGGCCCUGGGGAUAGCACCUGGCCCUCUGCCAGGCCCACUGCCCAUGAGCAGCUUGGCACACACCAGAG
ensembl:lncRNA